GCCUUCGUGGUGUAACGGUAGUACAUUCAGCGCGUAUUCGAAAUAUUCAGGUUCGAGUCCCGGCGAGGGCA
rnacentral:tRNA from 1 species